GUCAAUUUGUAAAGAACAGGAUUAUAGGUUACGUUUGAUGGUCUUGGCCUGAUUGGUUGGCGGAGCUGUACCUUUAUACCCUAGGUACCAUACAGCAGCUAAAAAUACAAAGUUAGCUCACCACUGGAUCACCUAUACAACAACACCAGUCAGCCGGGUCAGCCUUUGGGGGACCUAUACAACAACACCAGUCAGCCGGGUCAGCCUUUGG